AUCUAUAACCAUAUUACCCUGAAAGCACCCCAUCUAGUCUGAUCUCGGAAACUAAGCGGGGUCAGGCCUGGUUAGUACUUGGAUGGGAGGAGUGAGAGAGAGAGAUU
rnacentral:rRNA from 1 species